AGAUCCUCUCGACGGUGAUCAAAUUACGAUGAUCGACUAUCCGCACAAAGAUAUUGUAUUCUGAACACAUAACAAUAAAUUAUUUACUGUUCAAAUUUGAAUUUCAAAUUUAAAUGCAUGCAUGCUAUAUAUCAUAUUUAGAUCAUAGUGUAGGGUAAACACAUGUUAAUUAAUUAGAUUAAUUAAUCAGGAUGAAGCAGUGGG
rnacentral:lncRNA from 1 species